ACGCCCCCUAAAGUCCUUCCGGCUGGAGCCGGGGCCGGCCGGUCUCCGCAGCCCGGGGCUGUGGCCGGACCCGGCAGGGAGGCCGGGAGCUGGAGUCCGGGCGGGGAAGGCGGAACUAGCGUGGAUGAGUAAAGGGUGGCGAGGGAGACAAGUCUGCGGAGAAGGAAAAAGUCUAGAGUGAGAAGAUACGGCUGGAGGCUGAGAGAGACUUCUGGGAAAAGGCUGAGAAGGGGUGGCCAGAGAAGUAAAGGAGCCAGGAGAGCGAGCAGGGGCACAGAAGCCAAGAGAGUGGCGUGUCAAGGACUGAGUGAAGAGCACUGUCAAAUGUUGCAGAGAGGUGAAGCAAGACAAGGAUGGAGAACAGCUUUGAGGCAUGAGUAGAGAAGACAGGACUGUUCAAGGACUCCUCAAUGAGUGAAGCAUUUACUACCAAACAAAGAAAAUGCAAACUGCCCAGGUCUGUAUCACUUUUAGUCAUUUUUUAUAGUAGGGUUCUAUAUAAGACUUCUUAUGAAAAAUGUUUGAAUAUCACUGCUUUGGAUUUAUUCCACUUCCCUCUGGCAUUUCUCUCCUCCCCACUGCAUUUCUCCUUAAUUGCUAAAAGGGAGAAAGGUCCUCUUUCCUUGAAGGAGCCCUGGGCUAACACAGCCUGUACUUACUGACUUGCACUCACAAUGAGCUUUCUUUCCUGACUUAGAAGCUAGGGGAUGGUUGCCCUGCUGCUGGCGGAUCCUGUUCUUCCAUCCUCGAUAAGACUGGAUAUCUGGGCAUCAGACUUCCUUAAUUUGGACUGGCUUGUGACCUCCAUUCUCCAUCCCUGCAGUUACCUGGAAAACCACCUUAGCACCAUGUAGAAGGAAAAGACGUCUGAAACCAAAACAAUAGUCCUAUCCAUUACAUGGGGGUUGAGGGGCUUGGGGGAAGACACCCAGUUCCAGCCCUGGGGUUCCUCCACCUCUGGAAAAUCUGACCUGCCCCUUUUUUAAAGUGCACUUACCAGAUGGGGAUAUUAUAGAAGGAACUCUUUGUUAAAAAAAAAAAAAAAAGUUUAAGUGUAUAUUGGGGAAAAGGCAGGCUCCA